GUGGGGAAUCUUGCGCAAUGGGCGAAAGCCUGACGCAGCCAUGCCGCGUGAAUGAUGAAGGUCUUAGGAUUGUAAAAUUCUUUCACCGGGGACGAUAAUGACGGUACCCGGAGAAGAAGCCCCGGCUAACUUCGUGCCAGCAGCCGCGGUAAUACGAAGGGGGCUAGCGUUGCUCGGAAUUACUGGGCGUAAAGGGCGCGUAGGCGGACAGUUUAGUAAGAGGUGAAAGCCCAGGGCUCAACCUUGGAAUUGCCUUUGAUACUGGGUAUCUCGAGUAUGGAAGAGGUGAGUGGAAUUCCGAGUGUAGAGGUGAAAUUCGUAGAUAUUCGGAGGAACACCAGUGGCGAAGGCGGCUCACUGGUCCAUUACUGACGCUGAGGUGCGAAAGCGUGGGGAGCAAACAGGAUUAGAUACCCGGGUAGUCC
rnacentral:rRNA from 1 species